rnacentral:rRNA from 1 species
AGUUUGAUCCUGGCUCAGAUUGAACGCUGGCGGCAGGCCUAACACAUGCAAGUCGAGCGGUAGCACAGAGAGCUUGCUCUCGGGUGACGAGCGGCGGACGGGUGAGUAAUGUCUGGGAAACUGCCUGAUGGAGGGGGAUAACUACUGGAAACGGUAGCUAAUACCGCAUAAUGUCGCAAGACCAAAGUGGGGGACCUUCGGGCCUCAUGCCAUCAGAUGUGCCCAGAUGGGAUUAGCUAGUAGGUGGGGUAAUGGCUCACCUAGGCGACGAUCCCUAGCUGGUCUGAGAGGAUGACCAGCCACACUGGAACUGAGACACGGUCCAGACUCCUACGGGAGGCAGCAGUGGGGAAUAUUGCACAAUGGGCGCAAGCCUGAUGCAGCCAUGCCGCGUGUAUGAAGAAGGCCUUCGGGUUGUAAAGAACUUUCAGCGAGGACGAAGGCGUUAAGGUUAAUAACCUUGGCGAUUGACGUUACUCGCAGAAGAAGCACCGGCUAACUCCGUGCCAGCAGCCGCGGUAAUACGGAGGGUGCAAGCGUUAAUCGGAAUUACUGGGCGUAAAGCGCACGCAGGCGGUCUGUUAAGUCAGAUGUGAAAUCCCCGGGCUCAACCUGGGAACUGCAUUUGAAACUGGCAGGCUUGAGUCUUGUAGAGGGGGGUAGAAUUCCAGGUGUAGCGGUGAAAUGCGUAGAGAUCUGGAGGAAUACCGGUGGCGAAGGCGGCCCCCUGGACAAAGACUGACGCUCAGGU